rnacentral:misc_RNA from 1 species
GUCUUAUUGAUUAUAAUUUUAAGUCUAAUCUGCCCAAUGAAUAAUUAAAUGGCUGCAGUAUUUUAACUGUACAAAGGUAGCAUAAUAAUUAGUUUCUUAAUUAGGAACUGGAAUGAAUGAUUGGACGAAAUAGUGACUGUCUUGGUUUAAAUUUUAGAAUUUUAUUUUUGAGUUAAAAAGCUUAAAUUUUUUUAAAAGACGAGAAGACCCUAUAGAAUUUUAUAUUAUUUAUAUAUUUUAUUAUAGGUAAUUAAAAAUAAGAUUUUUUAAUGAAUAUUUAGUUGGGGUGAUUGAAAAAUUUAAUAAACUUUUUUUUUAUUACUUAACAUUAAUGUAUGAUUAAUUUGAUCCAGUGUUUCUGAUUAUAAGAUUAAAUUACCUUAGGGAUAACAGCGUAAUUUUUUUAGAGAGCUCCGACCUCGAUGUUGAAUUAAAGUUUAUUUUUAAUGUAGGAGUAAAAUAUUAGGUCUGUUCGACCUUUAAAACUUUACAUGAUCUGAGUUUAAACCGGUGUGAGCCAGGUUGGAUUCUAUCUUUAAUAAAAUUAAAUAUUUUAGUACGAAAGGACCAAAUAUUUAUUAUAGUAAUUUUAUUAGAAUAUUAUUAUUAUUUUGGCAGAUUAGUGCUUUAAAUUUAGAAUUUAGUUAUGUGAAUAUUCACAAAUAAUAC